UAGGGUGACCAGCCAUUCUGGUUUGCCUGGGAUUGAGGAGAUUCCUGGGAUGUGGAUUUUCAGUGAUACAACUGAGAAAGUCCCAUUAAACAA
rnacentral:miRNA from 1 species